ACACUGCCGGAAGAGCCAAUUCGAAGCUCUGGCUCCUGCCUCCGGCUUCUGCCUUGUGAAUGCGGCGUCUGGCCCGGCGGGGACGUGCGGAAGUUGAGGCUGGGCUGACAGGAGCUCAAGAUGGUGUACAAUGCAUGCCUUCCCCUUAUAUUUUCCCACAAAAUCAGUCCUGUGCAGUAUUUUGAGAUCUUAUCUGCCAAGACUUCUAAAGCAAUUACAAAUACUGUAGUAAAGUGGAGAGCAGACACCCUUGCCUCGUUUCUUUACUUAUUAACAAACUUGAAGAGAGUAUUGCAUCUGCUGUAAUCUUUGUUGUUUACCAUUGAUAUAUGUUCUCCACCAAAGAUUUAAAUUCUUCUCCUGGAUUCAUUUUGCUGAGGACCUCUAACAAGAAAGUCCACUCCAAAUUGUCAAAGGCUUUUUCUGCAUCCAAAAAAUUACUACAACUGCCUUCUUUUUCUUGUUGUUAAUAUAUUCUAAUGCAUUUAUUGGGAAUCUAAUGUCCAUUAGCUUCCUUUUGGGAAUACAACCCGUUUCAUCUGUAUGUAUAUUUUUGGAAAUACAUUUCCUCGUAUGUUCAGUUAGUACAUUUAUGAUGAUUUCUAUCCAGGUUUGGAUCAGUUUCACGCUUGCUCAUCUUCAACCUGAGGAUCUGGCAGCAUAUUCAGUGGGUAAUGUAUUCUAACAAUACUGGAUUUCUACAGUUCUGAUUUCUUUAUGAGUGUUGCAAUGUAUGAAUCACAAUACAUAUGCCUGGCUAUAAGUUCAUUGUACUAAAGUAAUGACAACAAAACUUGCCUCCUCUUCCCCAUCUAAUGCCAAGAAACUUACAUAAUUCUGUAAAAUUCUCUUUUUCUUUGUUUCGACAUACCCAAUCAAUAUGAAGCUGUCUUUUAUUGAGUUAGAAACUUCAACUUACUAAUAGUAAUUAGUAUAACUUACUACCUGAUCUUAUUCACUGGAAGUUAAAUGUAAGAUUUGUAUUCCAUGCUGAAUUAUAAUUCUUCCCAGAGUUUCUAGCACUGUACUUGCUUGUUUAAAUGCCAGUGCAAAUGUUUUACUUACAAUAUUUCCCCUGUAAAAUGCCCUAUCUGGAGUGUUUCUACACAGUUACAUUUUAGGUUAGCAAUUCUGUCUAUUAUAUGGCUGUAUUGGUUAUUACACUACUGAAAAGGCUAGUGGGACUACCCCUAUAAACAAAAUCUGGGAGCUUUAUUUAUCUCAACUGUGGAAUAAUCCUUAAACAUUGGAUAUGAAAGUUCCACUCUCCUCACAGUAGCUACCGUGAUUCAUCUACAUUAUUUUGAUGUGAACAGAGAUGUUUCAUCAUCUUUUUGGAAUGGUACUUAAGAUUAGUUCUAUGUUACCUUAAGGACUUUAUCAAUUCUUUGCUGUUUUUUAAAGUUGUUUAGUACAAAAGCUGUG